UUAAAUGAAUUAAGUAUUAUGUACAUAUCAUUUACAAUGAUAAAGUCUAAAAUUUUAGAAUUCAUAA
rnacentral:tRNA from 1 species